rnacentral:rRNA from 1 species
GAAGAGUGGCGAACGGGUGAGUAACACGUGGGUAACCUGCCCAUCAGAAGGGGAUAACACUUGGAAACAGGUGCUAAUACCGUAUAACAAUCGAAACCGCAUGGUUUUGAUUUGAAAGGCGCUUUCGGGUGUCGCUGAUGGAUGGACCCGCGGUGCAUUANCUAGUUGGUGAGGUAACGGCUCACCAAGGCCACGAUGCAUAGCCGACCUGAGAGGGUGAUCGGCCACAUUGGGACUGAGACACGGCCCAAACUCCUACGGGAGGCAGCAGUAGGGAAUCUUCGGCAAUGGACAAAGUCUGACCAGCAACGCCGCGUGA